ensembl:lncRNA
UUUGGAUUAAUUCUGACAUAAUAACUGUUGGUUUAUUUAACGGUGGAGCAGCGGAACAUUUUCCACAGACAGUUUUCCUGCCCGUUGGCUUGUUUUAACCAGUUUUUUUUUUUUUUUACCUUCGGCUGAUUCUACCAGCAGACACUGAAAGGACUCUGAUAGUUCGAGUGAAAGUAGCAAUUCCUCCUUAAGGUCAGAGAUUGCAGCAUCUGAGGGCCUCUUCAAAAGAAGACGUAGUUGAUGAAGGCGUUCUGGAGCAGGACCAGAAAGACCACGACCAAGCAGCCUUGAGAUCUUAGGCAGCGUCUCCCUCAGGUCCCUCUCUAUCUCCCCACACAUCCACCAACCACUGGAACACAUCUCCAAAGUUCUGCCGGGCCAGCUCAGCUUCCCCUCAGAAGAAGUGCCGCCACCUGCCAGAUGAAGGAGCCUUUUGAGAGGCAGCUGGCAUCGUGAUUGGACUGUACUUUGGUCUGUUCCAGUCCAGCUUCAGCUCCAGAGACGGCAGGCGGGACGAGUCAACGGAGGCCGGGUGGACGAAGGCAUGCAGCUGAGUCGAAAAAAAAAUGCGAUUUUUUUCAACAUGUUGUAAAAACGUGCCAUAUGAUGAAAUAAUGUAAAGGAGGCU